UGUACAAGACGCCACAGCCAGCAGGAACAGUGUGUGUCUGGCCAGUCAGGGACAGCGUGAGCUGGCACUCACCUCGGCUGACGGGUUCUGUGGCUGAGGGAGAGACACACAGGCAACCAACAGGGACCGGAAGACACCGGAAGAACUUGGUGCUUACGCAGGAGUUGUCCGUACUGUGUGAUUUUCUCUCCCUUGCUGGGGAUGGAGCCCACGGCCUUCAUACUGAGACCUGGGGGUGUGGAAGGGCCCUGAAGAUGCCAGCCCCCCGCUGCCCUCAGCACGGUCACUGCUGACCCCAGACACACGCCCAGGUCUCCCGAGCCAGCUGCCGUGCGGGAAUGUGGAGGAGUGAGAGAGUUCGGGGCUUGGGCCAGCACAGCGAGUGUCACGUGGCGGGAGCCAGGGCGCCAGCAGCCGCGGGCAGGGGCGACCCGGCCGGCCACUGGGCACCCAGCAGACCCCACCUGCCAGCGCCCAUGCCCACCUCACGGAGCGGGGAGGCCCCAGUGACAGUGUGGCCCACGACAAGAACCAGAGGUGCAAAUGUCAGAUGUCCCUUGUGAAAGGACAAGAAGCACAAGUAACCACUCCUCUCUUUUAAUUUUAAGCCGAUUUUGAGUAUGAAAAUCCAGGGCGUCGAUCUGUGUCUCAUGACCUCACCGGCUGCAGCAGGGAGAGGCUCUGUCUCCCGGGGGGGCGCCAAGCUCCAGGGCCACCAAGGGCAGGAUCGUACCGGGGCAGGAGGCCAC